UAGAAAAAGAAUGCAUUGUUUUGAUACCUCACCAGGUGGCGUUUCAAAUAUAAACACUACUGUAUGUGGAGUUGAAAGACUACGAAGGAGACUUUACAAUUAGGCCUAAUACCGUAACAAAUGUCAUGACAGAUUACAUCUUUAAAUUUGGCCCCAUUGGAAAUGCACUGGACUCUGGCCUAAUGGUACUGCUGACUGGAAAAGAUAUUGUCAUACAGAUAUUUAAUUCUCAUGACAGACAGUACAUCAUUAAAUUUGGCCCCAAAUGGAAAUGGACUGGAAUCUGGCCUAAUAGUACUGCUGACUGGAAAAGAUAUUGUCAUACAGAUAUUUAAUUGUAAGUUA